GACAUAGGUGGCGAACGUUAUCCGGAAUUAUUGGGCGUAAAGGAUGCGUAGAUGGUAUAGUAAGUUAUCGGUGGUAAAUCGAGGCUCAACCUCGUGGAAGUCGGUAAUACUGCUAUACUAGAGGAUAGGAGAAGUUAACGGAACUUCCUGUGGAGCGGUGAAAUGCGUAGAUAUAGGAAAGAACACCGGUGGCGAAGGCGGUGGUCUGGGCCUGAACUGACGCUGAGGAGCGAAAGCCAGGG
rnacentral:rRNA from 1 species